CAUGAAUGUAACCCUCCCCUUGUUCAUAGAGAUAUUCAAGCAAGCAGUAUCCUUCUGGAUGAUAAGUUUGAGGUGCGACUUGGAAGCCUGAGUGAGGUCUGUAUCCAGGAAGGGGAUUCACACAACAAUGUGCUCACAAGGUUCUUGCGGAAACCACAAUCCUCUGAACCAUGCCCUUCCGGCAGCGACUUGUGCUCAUGAUGUGUACUGUUUCGGAAAGGUCUUGCUCGAGCUCAUAACAGGG
rnacentral:misc_RNA from 1 species